UGGAUGCUGGCGAGCUGCAGUAGACAGACGAAUGACCCUGAAAGCUGUCCCCACCUGUGACUGUGUCCCCUCUCCUGGCAGAAAGGACUCUGCAGGUGUGAUCAGGGCUAAGGUCCUUGAGAAGAGGUGGGGCCAUUCUAGUCACAGGAGUCCUUGAAAUCCCAGAAGCUGCCUUGGCUGCAGAGAAAGAACUAGGAAGAUGGGAGUGUGACAAGGCUCCGGUGACCCUGUGGCCGGUCCCGAGAAGUAGGGGUGACACCUGUUGGGACAGGACAGAGGCCUCCUGGAGGUCCCACUGGUGAUGGAAGGCAGGACUUCAAACGCAAGGAAGUGUGGAAAUGGGCAUAUUCGUCUCCAGGACAUCCCAAGGACUUGGCCUUUUUGCCCAAGAACUUAGUCUGCUCCGAUCCAACCUUGACUCUUCCAUCAGAGUGGCUCAAAGAAAGUCUUCUAGCUGUGCAGUGAGUGGAGCAACAGUGUACAGGAAAUCCUUUCUUGGCGAUAAGCGAAUCCUCCCCUGGGCAUGGAUGGAUAGGGAAGAGGUACAUCUCCAUACACCUUGAAGAGUUCCUGACACAUAGAAG